ACCGAAAUACCUCAGUUGGGAGAAUGUUAGCUUAUUGAUCGAAAAGUUCCUGGUUCGAUCCCGGGUUUCGGCC
rnacentral:tRNA from 1 species